ACGUCCGUUGUGAAGAGGGAAACAACCCUGACCUACGACUAAGGCCCCUAAUUCAUGGCUAAGUGGGAAAGCAGGUGAGACGGCCAAAACAACCAGGAGGUUGGCUUAGAAGCAGCCAUCCUUUAAAGAUAGCGUAACAGCUCACUGGUCUAAAUAAGCUGUCUUGCGGCGAAGAUGUAACGGGGCUCAAGCCAUGAGCCGAAGUCUAGGAUGCAAUUUAUUGCAUGGUAGCAGAGCGUAGUGUGACAUAGUUCCAUGCGUCUUUAGUGCCCUUUCGGGGGUGCAUUAGACGCAAGGAGCUUUCUGUGAAGCCGGGGCGUGAGCCAUCCGGUGGAGAGAUCACUAGUGAGAAUGAUGACAUGAGUAGCGACAAAGGGAGUGAGAGACUCCCUCGCCGAAAAUCCAAGGGUUCCUGCUUAAAGCUAAUCUGAGCAGGGUGAGCCGACCCCUAAGGCGAGGCCGAAAGGCGUAGUCGAUGGGAACCAGGUUAAUAUUCCUGGGCCAUGAGGUGGUGACGGAUCUCGACUGUAGUUCUUCCUUAUCGGAUUGGAAGGGCUGCUUAGAGGUUCCUGGAAAUAGCCCCUCUAUAAGAUCGUACCCUAAACCGACACAGGUGGAUAGGUAGAGAAUACCAAGGCGCUUGAGAGAACCACAUUUAAGGAACUCGGCAAAAUACCUCCGUAAGUUCGCGAGAAGGAGGCCCGGUUUUUACGCAAGUAGAGGCCGGGGGCACAAACCAGGGGGUGGCGACUGUUUACUAAAAACACAGGGCUCUGCGAAGUCGUAAGACGACGUAUAGGGUCUGACGCCUGCCCGGUGCCUGAAGGUUAAAAGGAGGAGUGCAAGCUCCGAAUUGAAGCCCAGGUAAACGGCGGCCGUAACUAUAACGGUCCUAAGGUAGCGAAAUUCCUUGUCGGGUAAGUUCCGACCUGCACGAAUGGCGUAACGACUUCCCCGCUGUCUCAAAUGUGGACUCAGCGAAAUUGAAUUACCGGUCAAGAUGCCGGUUACCCGCGGUUAGACGGAAAGACCCCAUGCACCUUUACUAUAGCUUCGCAUUGGCAUCAGACACAGUAUGUGCAGGAUAGGUGGUAGGCUUUGAAGCGGGGACGCCAGUCCUCGUGGAGCCUCCCUUGAGAUACCACCCUUAUUCUGUUUGAUGUCUAACCGCGGUCCAUUAUCUGGAUCCGGGACCCUGCGUGGUGGGUAGUUUGACUGGGGCGGUCGCCUCCCAAAUUGUAACGGAGGCGCGCGAAGGUUGGCUCAGAGCGGUCGGAAAUCGCUCGUUGAGUGCAAUGGCAGAAGCCAGCCUGACUGCAAGACUGACAAGUCGAGCAGAGUCGAAAGACGGCCAUAGUGAUCCGGUGGUCCCGAGUGGAAGGGCCAUCGCUCAACG
rnacentral:rRNA from 1 species